UACCUACGGGGCGCAGCAGUGGGGAAUAUUGCACAAUGGGGGAAACCCUGAUGCAGCAACGCCGCGUGAGUGAAGAAGUCAUUCGUGAUGUAAAGCUCUAUCAGCAGGGAAGAAAAUGACGGUACCUGAGUAAGAAGCCCCGGCUAACUACGUGCCAGCAGCCGCGGUAAUACGUAGGGGGCAAGCGUUAUCCGGAAUUACUGGGUGUAAAGGGAGAGUAGGCGGCAAGGUAAGCGAUAUGUGAAAGCCUUAGGCUUAACCAAAGGAUUGCAUAACGAACUAUCUAGCUAGAGUACAGGAGAGGA
rnacentral:rRNA from 1 species